AGCAGCCGCGGUAAUUCCAGCUCCAAUAGCGUAUAUUAAAGUUGUUGCAGUUAAAAAGCUCGUAGUUGAAUUUCGGGAUUAGUACGCUGGUCGUGCCAUCGGUAUGUACUGGUGUUACUGGUUCCUACCUUCUGACGAACCGUCAUGUCAUUAAUUUGGUGUGGCGGGGAAUCAGGACUGUUACUUUGAAAAAUUAGAGUGUUUAAAGCAGGCUCGCGCUUGAAUACAUUAGCAUGGAAUAAUGAAAUAGGACGUUCGAUCCUAUUUUGUUGGUUUCUAGGAUUGACGUAAUGAUUAAUAGGGAUAGUUGGGGGGCAUUAGUAUUCAAUUGUCAGAGGUGAAAUUCUUGGAUUUAUUGAAGACUAACUACUGCGAAAGCAUUUGCCAAGGAUGUUUUCAUUAAUCAAGAACGAAAGUUAGGGGAUCGAAGACGAUCAGAUACCGUCGUAGUCUUAACCAUAAACUAUGCCGACUAGGGAUCGGAUGAUGUUAUUUUUAAUGACUCAUUCGGCGCCUUAAC
rnacentral:rRNA from 1 species